rnacentral:rRNA from 1 species
CAAGCAGCGGAGCAUGUGGUUUAAUUCGAAGCAACGCGAAGAACCUUACCUAGACUUGACAUCUCCUGCAUUACUCUUAAUCGAGGAAGUCCCUUCGGGGACAGGAAGACAGGUGGUGCAUGGUUGUCGUCAGCUCGUGUCGUGAGAUGUUGGGUUAAGUCCCGCAACGAGCGCAACCCUUAUUGUUAGUUGCCAUCAUUUAGUUGGGCACUCUAGCGAGACUGCCCGGGUUAACCGGGAGGAAGGUGGGGAUGACGUCAAAUCAUCAUGCCCCUUAUGUCUAGGGCUACACACGUGCUACAAUGGUCGGUACAAUAAGACGCAAGCCCGCGAGGGGGAGCAAAACUGGAAAACCGAUCUCAGUUCGGAUUGUAGGCUGAAACUCGCCUACAUGAAGCUGGAGUUGCUAGUAAUCGCGAAUCAGCAUGUCGCGGUGAAUACGUUCCCGGGCCUUGUACACACC